GGGGUGGUGUCAAAGCCUUUAUGAAACAGGUGGGAUUUGAGGAGGAUAUGAAGGCACAACAGCACUCUCCCCUGGUAUGCAGAAGCACACUGCCUUUGACGGUAGACGAAGUCUCUCUGUUCUGCUGUGGGUGUCCCCUGUCGUUUCUCAAACACUGGCAGCUGUUGAGGGCACAGCAGCCCUGCCAGGGAAAAAAAGGUGGCAAUCUUCAUAGCAUUUGGAACUUUCCAAGACAGCAACAAAUGAAAUCAUAACAGCGGAGCGGUGUUUUUCUGAAGGGCUCAAAGCACCGCACAUACAUUAUCACAGUGAUUCUUUCAACAGUCUUGUAAGGUAUCCCGGUCUUUCAAAGUGCCGACAGCAGCCUACGCUGCCUCACAUCUGCACAGUGGCUAGGUUCAGACCUGCUCGUCUCCUGUGAAGGGAACUACAUUAAGGUGCCUUCAGGCUAUACUCUGGAUGCAGGGAAGUCAGGAAUCCAGCUGAACAGCUACGUUGCCAACCACACACUCCCUUCUCAUCAAGGCAAACUGGAAGUCUCCUCCACCCUGGGAUUCUGGUGGUUUGCAGCCUUACACGGAACGGAACUCACUGAUUGCAGGAGUACCCAUAAUCAUCCCCUACAGAUCUGAAAUUGGAGGAAAAGUGUUUCCAGGCAAGGUGAAGCCCCACAGCUGUUUAAGUGGGGGUGGGGUGGGAUAGGGUGUUCAGCAUUUGUUU